rnacentral:rRNA from 1 species
GAGGAAUAUUGGUCAAUGGACGCAAGUCUGAACCAGCCACGUCGCGUGAAGGAAGACGGCCCUACGGGUUGUAAACUUCUUUUAUCCGGGAAUAAAGUGCCACACGCGUGGGGUUUUGCAUGUCCGGUAGGAAUACGGAUCGGCAAACGCCGUGCCAGCAGCCGCGGUAAUACGGAGGAUCCGAGCGUUAUCCGGAUUUAUUGGGUUUAAAGGGUGCUCAGGCGGGGGAUUAAGUCGGCGGUGAAAUUUUGCAGCUCAACUGUAAAAGUGCCUUCGAAACUGGUUUCCUUGAGUGUGGAUGAGGUAGGCGGAAUUUGUGGUGUAGCGGUGAAAUGCAUAGAUAUCACGAGGAACUCCGAUUGCGCAGGCAGCUUACUAAACCAUAACUGACGCUCGAGCACGAAGGCGUGGGGAUCAAACA